UUAUAUGCUUGUCUCAAAGAUUAAGCCAUGCAUGUCUAAGUACACACGAAUUAACAGUGAAACCGCAAAAGGCUCAUUAUAUCAGUUAUGGUUCCUUAGAUCGUUAACAGUUACUUGGAUAACUGUGGUAAUUCUAGAGCUAAUACAUGCAAUUAAAACACGAACCUUUUGGGACGUGUGCUUUUAUUAGGCUAAAACCAAGCGAUCGCAAGAUCGUUAUAUUGGUUGAACUCUAGAUAACAUGCAGAUCGUAUGGUCUUGUACCGACGACAGAUCUUUCAAAUGUCUGCCCUAUCAACUUUUGAUGGUAGUAUCUAGGACUACCAUGGUUGCAACGGGUAACGGGGAAUCAGGGUUCGAUUCCGGAGAGGGAGCCUGAGAAACGGCUACCACAUCUAAGGAAGGCAGCAGGCGCGUAAAUUACCCACUCCCAGCUCGGGGAGGUAGUGACGAAAAAUAACAAUACAGGACUCAUAUCCGAGGCCCUGUAAUUGGAAUGAGUACACUUUAAAUCCUUUAACAAGGACCUAUUGGAGGGCAAG
rnacentral:rRNA from 1 species